UACGGAGGAUGCGAGCGUUAUCCGGAUUUAUUGGGUUUAAAGGGUGCGUAGGCGGAUUUUUAAGUCAGCGGUAAAAUGUCCGGGCUCAACCCGGGCCGGCCGUUGAAACUGGGGAUCUUGAGUGGGCGAGAAGUAUGCGGAAUGCGUGGUGUAGCGGUGGAAUGCAUAGAUAUCACGCAGAACUCCGAUUGCGAAGGCAGCAUACCGGCGCCCGACUGACGCUGAGGCACGAAAGCGUGGGGAUCGAACAGG
rnacentral:rRNA from 1 species